rnacentral:rRNA from 1 species
GACGUAGGGCGCGAGCGUUGUCCGGAUUUAUUGGGCGUAAAGAGCUCGUAGGCGGCUUGUCGCGUCGAAUGUGAAAUCUCAGGGCUCAACUCUGACAUUGCAUUCGAUACGGGCAGGCUAGAGUUCGGUAGGGGAGACUGGAAUUCCUGGUGUAGCGGUGAAAUGCGCAGAUAUCAGGAGGAACACCGGUGGCGAAGGCAGGUCUCUGGGCAUUAACUGACGCUGAGGAGCGAAAGCUAGGGGAGCGAACAGG